UACGAAGGGGGCUAGCGUUGUUCGGAAUCACUGGGCGUAAAGGGCGCGUAGGCGGCCGAUCAAGUCGGGGGUGAAAGCCUGUGGCUCAACCACAGAAUUGCCUUCGAUACUGUUUGGCUUGAGACCGGAAGAGGUUAGUGGAACUACGAGUGUAGAGGUGAAAUUCGUAGAUAUUCGCAAGAACACCAGUGGCGAAGGCGGCUGACUGGUCCGGUUCUGACGCUGAGGCGCGAAAGCGUGGGGAGCAAACAGG
rnacentral:rRNA from 1 species